rnacentral:rRNA from 1 species
GGUGGAGAGUGGCGCACGGGUGAGUAACACAUGGCUGACCCUGCCCCUCAGAGGGGGACCACCGCGUGGAAACGCCGGCUAAUACCCCAUGCUUGCGUCCGGGUUAGAGGCCGGAUGCAGAAAGGCCGAGGUGCUGAGGGAGGGGCCUGUGGACCAUCAGCUACUUGGUAGGGUAACGGCCUACCAAGGCGAGGACGGAUCGGGGCCCUGAUAGGGUGACCCCCCACACGGGCACUGAGACACGCUCCCGACUCCUACGGGAGGCAGCAUUAAGGGAUAUUGCGACAAUGGGCGAAAGCCUGACGCAGCAACGCCCCGUGGAGGAUGAAGGCCUUCGGGUUGUAAACUCCUUUUCUGUGGAAAGAGGAAGGACGGUACCACAGGAAGAAGUCUCGGCUAACUACGUGCCACCACCCGCGGUAAAACGUAGGAGGCGAGCGUUAUCCGGAUUUACUGCGUGUAAAGCGCGUGCAGGCGGUCUGGUAAGUCGAGCGUGAAAGCUCCCGGCUCAACCGGCAGAGGACGAGCGAAACUGCGAGGCUCCAGACAGGUACAGGCGUACCGAAUUCCAGGCGUAGUGGUGAAAUGCUUAGAUAUCCGGAGGAACACCAGUGGCGAAGGCGGUACUCUGGGCCUGUUCUGACGCUA